CAGAUACCAGUGACGGCGAACAGCAGAAUAGAGACAGAAUUCAGUCUUAAAAAACCCACAGCGCUGGGAACAACUUGAUAAAAGUGCCACAACAUUUUUGUAGACCGGUUUUUUUUCAUUCAUUCGCACAACUGUAAAAAAAUGGCAUCGAACAGGGCUACGAAAAGUGGAUUUGCCGCGGAGGCACAAAGAAAAGUUAAUGCCAAAUAUAGCGAGGAGCUGGCCUCUGAAUCGCUAGAAUGGAUCAGUAAGGUGACAGGGGAUAAUAUCAACACCGCAGGUGAUAUGGAUAAUUUUUACGAAGUACUGAAAGACGGUACCCUCCUUUGCAAAUUAGUCAAUGCUAUCCAAAGCGGCAUCGUCAAAAAAGUGAACAACAGUCAGAUGGCCUUCAAGUGUAUGGAGAACAUCAACGCCUUCUUGGAUGCCGCCAGGCAAUUGGGAGUACCGGCUCAAGAAACAUUCCAAACCGUAGACCUCUGGGAACGACAAAACCUCAAUUCUGUUGUUAUUUGUUUGCAGAGUUUGGGCAGAAAAGCUGGACAAUUUGGAAAACCAAGCAUUGGACCUAAAGAAGCAGAGAAAAACGAAAGAGUUUUUUCAGAAGAAAAGCUGAAAGCAGGUCAGACCAUCAUUGGGCUCCAAAUGGGCUCAAACAAGGGAGCUAACCAAUCAGGCAUCAACUUUGGUAACACCAGACACAUGUAAAAACAACGAAACUGAACUCAGAAGAGAUAUAAUACUUGUUUUGGACACUUAAUUUCAAUCGUCAUCAAUAGUAGAUUUUCUUUUAUUCUAGAACCAACCACAGGGGGUUAUAAAAUAACGAAAAAAAAAGAAGUAUUAUAGUUUUUCUUCUGUAAAAUCAACUGAAGAUAAUUUUAAGAGUUAUAAUAUUUAUAUAAACUUAAGUAUUUUAUAAAACAGGUAUAUCGAAAGUUAUAUUAGAUGAAAGAGGUAUAAUUAGAGUAUGUACUGUACAUUUUAAAAGUCUCUCUAAAAGUAUAGGACUGUUUUUUUGAUAGAAAUAAAGUUUCUGUAUAUUUUUUUUAUUAAUUAUUUAUUUUUCUCUCGUAUAUAAUGUGCCUUCGAAUAAUUGUGGUAGUUAUUAAAUAAUAUACUCUAUUCUAGUGGCUUCCAGUUAUAUUGCAUUCCAGAAUUGUUUAUUUUGAUAAAAAAGGAUAUUUAAUGUUAUUUUUUACGUUCUUGAUAUUUUUUAUAAGAUUGUCAAUUAUGUUUUUUAAAGAAAUUCUUUAUUUAGUGUUAAGGAAAUGCACAUUCCUUUGUCAUUGUCAAUUUUUUCUAAUAAGACCAAUCUAUAUAGUUCGAGAAAUAUAGAUACUAUUUUUUUCUCUU
rnacentral:misc_RNA from 1 species